CUAACAUGCUGUCCCCAACAUACUCCAGUUGUCAAUCGUCCCCCGUUUGCGAAAGACUCUGACGGUCGGCCGGUUGCGAGGGAAUCUGGUCACCAUUCUGUCAUCACCAUGCGGCCUGUGAUCCUAAGUGUGUUGUUAAUGGUAUUUACAGGUGUUUUGGGAGACGGAGAAACAGAACUGCGUGCCCAGCUGUUUAGAAAUUACGAUAAGACAGCUUUACCCAACAAAAGGACUGUGGUCACUAUUAGUUCAUUCAGAAUUCUGGACUUCUAUUUGG